GCCCGGAUGGCGGAAUUGGUAGACGCGCUGGUCUCAAACACCAGUGGAUUCAUUUCCAUGCCGGUUCGACCCCGGCUCCGGGUA
rnacentral:tRNA from 1 species